UGGAGCGUAGCUCAGCGGUAGCAGCAUCGGUCUUACAAACCGGAGGUCGUGGGUUCGAUCCCCACCGCUCCAA
rnacentral:tRNA from 1 species